GGAUGUGAGGGCGAUCUGGCUGCGACAUCUGUCACCCCAUUGAUCACCAGGGUUGAUUCGGCUGAACUGGCUGGCUAGGCGGGUGUCCCCUUCCUCCCUCACCGCUCCAUGUGCGUCCCUCCUGAAGCUGCGCGCCCCGUCGAAGAGGACGACCUUCCCCGAAUAGAGGAGGACUGGUCUUCAGUCAAGGGUAUACGAGUAGCUGCGCUCCCCUGCUAGAACCUCCAAAAAGCUCUCAAGAAACGUAUGAUUGAAGCCCUACACAGAGCGAAGUUCAAGGUUCCUGGCUGCCAGAAGAUCCACAUCU
rnacentral:snRNA from 1 species